UACGGGGGGGGCAAGCGUUGUUCGGAAUUACUGGGCGUAAAGGGCUCGUAGGUGGCCAACUAAGUCAGACGUGAAAUCCCUCGGCUUAACCGGGGAACUGCGCAUGAUACUGGAUGGCUUGAGUUUGGGAGAGGGAUGCGGAAUUCCAGGUGUAGCGGUGAAAUGCGUAGAUAUCUGGAGGAACACCGGUGGCGAAGGCGGCAUCCUGGACCAACACUGACACUGAGGAGCGAAAGCCAGGGGAGCAAACGGG
rnacentral:rRNA from 1 species